GAUGAACGCUGGCGGCGUGCCUAAUGCAUGCAAGUCGAGCGAACGGACGAGAAGCUUGCUUCUCUGAUGUUAGCGGCGGACGGGUGAGUAACACGUGGAUAACCUACCUAUAAGACUGGGAUAACUUCGGGAAACCGGAGCUAAUACCGGAUAAUAUUUUGAACCGCAUGGUUCAAAAGUGAAAGACGGUCUUGCUGUCACUUAUAGAUGGAUCCGCGCUGCAUUAGCUAGUUGGUAAGGUAACGGCUUACCAAGGCAACGAUGCAUAGCCGACCUGAGAGGGUGGUCGGUCACACUGGAACUGAGACACGGUCCAGACUCCUACGGGAGGCAGCAGUAGGGAAUCUUCCGCAAUGGGCGAAAGCCUGACGGAGCAACGCCGCGUGAGUGAUGAAGGUCUUCGGAUCGUAAAACUCUGUUAUUAGGGAAGAACAUAUGUGUAAGUAACUGUGCACAUCUUGACGGUACCUAAUCAGAAAGCCACGGCUAACUACGUG
rnacentral:rRNA from 1 species